rnacentral:rRNA from 1 species
AACGAACGCUGGCGGCAGGCCUAACACAUGCGAGUCGAGCGAGAUCUUCGGGUCUAGCGGCGGACGGGUGAGUAACGCGUGGGAAUAUGCCCUUCUCUGCGGAAUAGCCUCGGGAAACUGAGCGUAAUACCGCAUACGCCCUUUGGGGGAAAGAUUUAUCGGAGAAGGAUUAGCCCGCGUUGGAUUAGGUAGUUGGUGGGGUAACGGCCUACCAAGCCGACGAUCCAUAGCUGGUUUGAGAGGAUGAUCAGCCACACUGGGACUGAGACACGGCCCAGACUCCUACGGGAGGCAGCAGUGGGGAAUCUUAGACAAUGGGGGCAACCCUGAUCUAGCCAUGCCGCGUGAGUGAUGAAGGCCUUAGGGUUGUAAAGCUCUUUCAGCUGGGAAGAUAAUGACGGUACCAGCAGAAGAAGCCCCGGCUAACUCCGUG